UACGUAGGGUCCGAGCGUUGUCCGGAAUUACUGGGCGUAAAGAGCUCGUAGGUGGUUUGUCGCGUUGUUCGUGAAAACUCACAGCUUAACUGUGGGCGUGCGGGCGAUACGGGCAGACUGGAGUACUGCAGGGGAGACUGGAAUUCCUGGUGUAGCGGUGGAAUGCGCAGAUAUCAGGAGGAACACCGGUGGCGAAGGCGGGUCUCUGGGCAGUAACUGACGCUGGAGGGAGCGAAAGCGUUGGGGAGCGAACAGG
rnacentral:rRNA from 1 species